UAUUUCUUAUUAGAGAAAUAGAAUUUACGUGGUAUAGUAAUAUAACAAUAUUUUUUAGGAGUGAUAGGCUUUUCAAGUAUGAUGAUAACUUGAUAUGCAAAAAAAAUAUUAAGUAUAAAAAUAGAUUAUGAAAGUUAAGCUUCAUAAUUAAAAUUAAUUUUUUUAAUUGAUUUUAUUAUAGUUUAAUAGCUUAUAAGAAGUUAAAACAAAAUUAUUUUAUAAGAAUUAUUUAAAUAACUGCAUUAUACUUUUUGGUUUUAAUAUAAAUUAUGUUAGUAUUAGUAAUUAUCAUAAAUAAAUUAUAGGAACUCGGCAAAAUAUUUUUCACCUGUUUAUCAAAAACAUAACUAUAUGAUCUAAUAUAUAGCUAUUCCUGCUCAAUGAUAUAUUAAAUAGCCGCAGUACCCUGACUGUGCAAAGGUAGCAUAAUCAAUUGGCUUUUAAUUGGAGUCUUGUAUGAAUGGAUAUAUGGAAAAUGACUGUCUUUAAUUUUUUUAUAUUAAUUUAGUUUGUAAGUGAAAAUACUUACAUAUAUAUAUAGGACGAGAAGACCCUAGAAACUUAGUAAAUAUUUUGUUGGGGCGACAGAAUUACAAAAAACUAAUUUUAUUAUACUAGACGUGUAAACAGCUAGAUUAAGUUACUCUAGGGAUAACAGCAUAAUUUUUACAGUUUGUGACCUCGAUGUUGGACUAGGGAAUUUAUUGUUUAGAAGAUAAUAAAGUGUGCUCUGUUCGAGCU
rnacentral:rRNA from 1 species